AAAAUUUCAACAUUAAUAACAUCGAGUUUGAGUCAGAGUCGAUUCCCGCACGGACUCCGCAACACAGCCGUGGUCCACCAAGAAUUCCUUACUCGAGUCCAAUCCGGAGUAGAGUCAGGUAAGGACUGCGACUUUGAUUCGGACUCCGUCCAAGAGAUCCCUUUGUUAGGACCAGCUCAAGGCUUGGUAAUUACUUCAACUCCGCAAGGCAGAUUCAUUUAUUGGCCUAGGAUGAAGCCAUCAUUCC
rnacentral:lncRNA from 1 species